rnacentral:lncRNA from 1 species
CUGCCGCUCUCCUUUGGACACAUCCAGCUUCACCACCCCUGAUAUCUUUGGCAUAGGGUCACCAAUUGCUGCGUACACGAAUCUGUUCUUUUUCCCUAAAUAAGCUGGGUUAAUCACACCAAAGUCCAGGUUUCUAGCUGAAACCGGGUUUCUUGUAACUAUGCCUGUUUUCAAGUCUAUUCUCACUUUCUCAACCAAGGCAUGGAUUAGGUCCAUUCGCUCCAGUGUGUGUUCUACUGAUAAAAUGUUUGGUGCUAAUAUGACUACGGCAUCCUCCUCAUCCCAUGCGUUGAUAGCGUGUAUGAUGUUGAACCCUGGCACAUCGAACCAUUUCAUCUCUGACUCAUCCGUUGCGUAUCGAGGGAUGAUUCCAAGCCUGGAUACUUUUGCUGGGUCCGAACCCACAGGUGAGCCCCCUCCAAAUAUCAUUUCCAUGGGGUUCAUCCCAAUCUGUAUGUCGGCAAAUAUAGCAUAUUUGCUGCUAAUUCCAAAGUCAUGGAGGAAAGAAGGUCUCGUCAUGGAAAAUAUGGGCACAUCUGGUUGUUUAUUUCCAUUUCCAUCGAAGUGAAAGUACGUUAGAAAUGGAGGGACGGGACCAUAUCUGAAAGCGAAGGCCUCCCCUGUCUCCAAGUCUACCUUGGGGUGAGCAGUCAUGCUCAUCAGCAGCUUUCUAUCAAAAUCAUGACGACCCAGCGUCUCUAUGUCUCCAUUU